AUUGAACGCUGGCGGCAUGCUUUACACAUGCAAGUCGAACGGUAACAGGCCGCAAGGUGCUGACGAGUGGCGAACGGGUGAGUAAUGCAUCGGAACGUGCCCAGUCGUGGGGGAUAACGCAGCGAAAGUUGCGCUAAUACCGCAUACGAUCUAUGGAUGAAAGCGGGGGACCGUAAGGCCUCGCGCGAUUGGAGCGGCCGAUGUCAGAUUAGGUAGUUGGUGGGGUAAAGGCUCACCAAGCCGACGAUCUGUAGCUGGUCUGAGAGGACGACCAGCCACACUGGGACUGAGACGCGGCCCAGACUCCUACGGGAGGCAGCAGUGGGGAAUUUUGGACAAUGGGCGCAAGCCUGAUCCAGCAAUGCCGCGUGCAGGAAGAAGGCCUUCGGGUUGUAAACUGCUUUUGUACGGAACGAAACGGUCCUGGUUAAUACCCGGGGCUAAUGACGGUACCGUAAGAAUAAGCACCGGCUAACUACGUGCCAGCAGCCGCAGUAACAC
rnacentral:rRNA from 1 species